UGAGAAAAACAAGAAGUGUAUCUUUAUGAAUUGAAUUACAAGUUACAACAUAUAUAACAUUGUGACAAAGUCAAUGUUUUCAGAUUUUGUGUAUUAACUAAAUUGAUUAUUCUCUUCAUUAAAUAUUAAUGAAAAUAAAUUAAACAAAUUUUUUAAUUAUUCUAUUUUUCAGUUCUUUAAUAAUAAUAUCUUACUGUAUUUUUAUGAGAAAAACAAGAAGUAUAUCUUUAUGAAUUGAAUUACAAGUUACAACAUGUAUAACAUUGUGACAAAGUCAAUGUUUUCAGAUUUUGUGUAUUAACUAAAUCGAUUAUUUUUUUCAUUAAUAUUGAUGAAAAUAAAUUAAAUGAAUUUAUAAUUAUUCUAUUUUUCAGUUCUUUAAUAAUAAUAUCUUACUAUAUUUUAUGAGAAAAACAAGAAGUAUAUCUUUAUGAAUUGAAUUACAAGUUACAACAUAUAUAACAUUAUGACAAAGUCAAUGUUUUCAGAUUUGUAUAUUAACUAAAUUGAUUUUUUCUUUUUGUUAAAUUAUUGACAUGUGAAUCUCUCUUUUUUUCAAAAAGAUAUUUCUGAAGUACUGUUUUCUUCUAUAAAUUUUAUGAAAAUAAAUUGAAUUAUUUUUAAUUAUUCAAUUUUUAUUUCUUUUAUUUUUUUUUUCUAUAAAAGAUUUGUUUGUUCAUUUUUCCUACCAAAGUCACAAUGUUAUUUCCAAACUGACAUAGAUUAGUUAGUUAUAAUAUUCUUUGUUUAUUUAAAUUAAACUUCUUUUAGAAAUCAUCUUUCCUUGCAACUUUUGAGGUUUUAUAGCACAUUAUUAUUCCUCUGUGAUAUUUAGUUUUCCAACUACCAUCACAAUCACAAAGAUGGACUCUUACUCAACAACCGGUCCCCCCCGCCUUCUUUUUACUCAACAACCAGAAAGUAACGCUUACUUCUAAAUGUUUGAAUGGGACGUGGAACAAAAUUGGUUCACAUUCCAAAAACAUGGAUUCCCACCUAACAUCUGCCAUUCAAACUUUCUUAGUGGUACCUGCAAUUCAACCACAAAUAAUAACUUUCCACUUGAAUCAUUAAACGUAUUCAUAUUAUAUGCUUGAAGUACGUCAAUGAUAUGGCGGACUGAAAGAGAGAUCAUGUCCAAGCGAUUCUUUUCAAAAGUAGGACACAGUAGAGAAACCAGACUAAUAAUAAUAUUGUAAGAAGAGAAUAUGAUGGUAGACUUAUAAUCUCUACAACCUUAGAGGUUUACCAACUGAUUCUUGUUAAAAUAACCUCCUAAUUAAUAUCUCCAUAUUAUAUCUGUCAUGAUUAGUAAUGGAUUCACUUAAAGACCAAUAGUUUAGAGCGCUAUGUAGACACAUGGGCGAGAAUGGCGUUGGUAGAAGCUGUAGAGAUCGAAGACAAUUUCAAUUGGUAGAAGAAAUUAAACUACUGUCUCUUUGUCUGUGUGAUAUGUCCUUAAUUAUUGUCUUAACUCCUUAUGUUCAAUAGCUUAAGAGCUACAAAGUAAUUUUAGCUGGAGCAGUCAAUUGGGUGGAUCAUAAUUUUUUUAUAAAAUAAAACAAAUCAGAUUCGUAUAAAACAAUGUGUGGCAAAAUAAAAUCUAAUAACCAUUAAAAUAUACAUUACAAGUCACUAGAGCUUUAGGUAACAACUAUAGAAACAAUGACUACUGAGUUCGAACUUAUGUUGACACCCUCCAACCAAACCAAGACUCUUUAACCACUUACAAAGGUUUGGUUAGUAGUUUGGAUAAGCAAUAUGAGUUGUGGGAAAUGAUAACUUUUCAAUAAAAACUUCUUAAUUGCUACUAUAACUUUAAAUAGGCCUAGUCCUUUAAAUGGGCCAAGUAUUAUAAUUGGGCCGUGUCCUUUAAGCAAUAUGAGUUGUGGGAAAUGAUAACUUAUGUAUCGGAGCUGCUUGAAUUGAAUCUCAGGUAGGAUCGUGAUCGGAGAGAGAGAGAGUCUGAAAAUUCCAGUGCGAAUCGGGAAUGUCUAGGGUUUCGAGAAAAUGGAUGGCGGAGGUAUAACAAUAACAUACAAGGGAGUCACUGUACACACUCCCAAGACGUGGCACGAUCUUUAUGUGGCUUUAUGUGGUUUUGGAUUGAAAAUUCUGGACAAUGGAUACGUCUUAAUUAGUAUCAUCGAGGCAAUCAAGCAGCUGUUAAUGUGAAAAUUAGGUUAUGUCUCCGGUCAGAACCAAUGUUGAGUUCAUUUAAAUAUUUUUUUUUCGUUCUGGAUUCUGUACAGAGCAAAGCAAGAUGGUCCUAUCGUCAUGGUACGACUCUCUUUUUUUUUUGCCUGUAGUCUGAUCGAAUCAUUAAAGUUCUUAUGCGGAGUUCGGUUAUCAAUAAAGAUUGAAAAAAACUUAUCAAAUGCUCGUGAUUGUGGUGAACAAAAAUAAAAAUAAAAUGCUCGUGAUUGUUUUUACGCGGAGUUCGGUUAUCAACCAAAUAUAUAGAAUUACUAUAGAUUACAGUUAAAUAAACAAAUAAGUUGGAACGAUUUCUUACUAUUCAAUCGUUCCAACUUCGUCUUAAACCGAGUGCAUGUAAUGCGGAUCUCUCUCUUCUACAAUCGUAUCUCAUUUUGUCAUUGAGUUUUCUUUGUAUAGCUUUAAUUCAUUGUCCAAAAAACUGCUUUGAUGUUUUUUUUUUUUGAUGGUUCAUGAAUACAGCUGAAUCUUCAAUUUUUGAUUAUAGAUCUGAAGUUAUCCAUCUUUUUUUUCUUUUCCUAUUCUAAGCUUCGUUUGCAUCACUGCUUCAGUUUGCAUAAUACACAAAGUGAGUAGUGUUUAAUGCUUCUAUUUACACGAAUCAGUUAACUUCUCAGUCGGGUCUUUCCCCGAGAGAUUCCACGUGUUGUCUUUGUUUUCCUGAUCAGAAACGCAAGCCUAAGCUCUACCUGAUGCACGCCGCUUCCAAGGAGCUGAAAAUUCGUGCUACUUCCAGCGUUUCUGAACUUCAAAAGUCUACUUCAAGUAGCGAUGUUAACAUGACGGCAGAGUUUGAGUUGGAGUUGCAAGAGUUGUUCAAUGAUGUCAAAUCCAUGGUUAAGAUUGGGGUGAGAGUGACGCAAUGGACCUUCUCCGAGCUAAUUACGUUGCUGUCAAAGAAGAGAUCGAUUCGGGCUUGAAAGGUGUCGAACAAGGUGCUCUUCUGGACAUAAUUGCCUUAGGGUUUAUGGCUGAGACUUAAACCUCUUCCUGCAUUGCUUGAUAUGAUAAAUAAGAUUGUUGAUAAGUUAAGGGACAACAAAGACGAGAUUGACAUGUCAUUUCUUGUUGCUACUCGCUGGAUAGUACCCGCUGAUGUUGCAGCUAGUGUUAUAGUGCUACUAAGCAUAUGGAGAAUCCGGCAGAGGAAUGCGUAGGAGGAGAAGAGCAUAUGGGAGGAGAAGAGCAUAUGGGUCGAAUCGUUUAGCCUAGCAUAUAGCCGUGUCUAGGACUAGUCGAUUUUGCGUGGUAGAGCUUCAGCUACCCUACCCGUUAGCUUUUUUUUACUGUCAUUUACACGACCACUGAAAUGUAAUUUCACUUUUACAUUUCUAGUAGGACUGGGAAUUUUGUUUCAAGAUAUCAGUUUUCGUAAACCUCAUUUUAUGAAUAGAAAAAUAAGUUUUGAGAAA